rnacentral:rRNA from 1 species
GACAGAGGGUGCAAACGUUGUUCGGAAUUACUGGGCGUAAAGCGCAUGUAGGCGGCCUAGCAGGUCGGAUGUGAAAUCCCUCGGCUCAACCAAGGAAGUGCAUUCGAAACCGCAAGGCUGGAGUCCCGGAGAGGAUGGUGGAAUUCUCGGUGUAGAGGUGAAAUUCGUAGAUAUCGAGAGGAACACCGGCGGCGAAGGCGGCCUUCUGGACGGUGACUGACGCUGAGACGCGAAAGCGUGGGGAGCAAACAGG